rnacentral:rRNA from 1 species
GCGUGGGAACCUGCCCCUGGGUACGGGACAACGUCUGGAAACGGGCGCUAAUACCGUAUACGUCCUUCGGGAGAAAGAUUUAUCGCCCUGGGAGGGGCCCGCGUCCGAUUAGCUUGUUGGUGGGGUAAUGGCCUACCAAGGCGACGAUCGGUAGCUGGUCUGAGAGGAUGAUCAGCCACACUGGGACUGAGACACGGCCCAGACUCCUGCGGGAGGCAGCAGUGGGGAAUAUUGGACAAUGGGGGCAACCCUGAUCCAGCAAUGCCGCGUGUGUGAUGAAGGCCUUAGGGUUGUAAAGCACUUUCACUGGUGAAGAUGAUGACGGUAUCCAGAGAAGAAGCCCCGGCUAACUCCGUGCCAGCAGCCGCGGUAAUACGGAGGGGGCAAGCGUUGUUCGGAAUUACUGGGCGUAAAGGGCGUGCAGGCUGUGAUUUAAGUUGGGCGUGAAAGCCCCGGGGCUC